UGUACGUGUACUGCACAUGUACCAGGAAGACAAGAUAACAAUUAUGACUGUCAAUCAUCAUUUGCUGACUGUAUCUGUCAAGCUGACUACACAGACUAUAGUAGCCAAAGAUAAGUUGUAGAAAGUGUGUUUCAGAGUUGAAUAUAUGAAUUAAAGCAUUGGCACAGUGAAUGGCAGCUGAAAAAUUUUGACCCUUGUUUCUGGAAGUGAAAUGUUAGAUGGUUUGAUGAAGUGCCACAGAGAUUAUCGCUUAAAGAAUGCGUGCAGGCCAACCACCAACACAAGAUAUUAAAAGAGCAAUGAAAAUGAAGAUUUAACUAUAAAGAAAAAUCUGACUAAUAUUAUUACUCAUAACACUUAAUUGUUUCGUAUUAUUGUAAAUUUAUGCGAGUUUUCCUGUAUUCUGUUUAUUUUGCAACUUAUGUUAUUGUAAAUUCAUGUAUGUUUUCAUUCUUGCUCUGUCAUGCAUUUCAUACUAAUCGUUUGUUGUGCAUAUUAAUUAUAUGUGUAUAUUACAUCAUUGAAUUACUGUAUUUGAAUUUUAAUAAACCUUUUUACCAUUCA